GGGCUCGUGGUCUAGGGGCUAUGACGCUUCGCUUACACCGAAGAGAUCGCCGGUUCAAUUCCGGCCGAGCCCA
rnacentral:tRNA from 2 species